rnacentral:rRNA from 1 species
CUUUACUGUAGCCUGGUAUUGGGUUCGGGCUUUGACUGCGCAGGAUAGGUGGGAGACUAUGAAGCAAUCCUUGUGGGGGUUGCUGAGUCAACGGUGAGAUACCACUCUGUCAGAGCUAGAAUUCUAACUAAAUGCCGUUAUCCGGCUUUGGAACCGUAUCAGGUGGGCAGUUUGACUGGGGCGGUCGCCUCCUAAAAGGUAACGGAGGCGCGCAAAGGUUCUCUCAGGCUGGUUGGAAAUCAGCCGUAGAGUGCAAAGGCAGAAGAGAGCUUGACUGCAAGAGCUACGACUCGAGCAGGGUGGAAACACGGCCUUAGUGAUCCGACGGCGCUGAGUGGAAGGGCCGUCGCUCAACGGAUAAAAGUUA